rnacentral:rRNA from 1 species
UGCAGUCGAGCGGACUUGAUGGAGUGCUUGCACUCCUGAUGGUUAGCGGCGGACGGGUGAGUAACACGUAGGUAACCUGCCCAUAAGACUGGGAUAACCCACGGAAACGUGAGCUAAUACCAGAUAGGCAUUUUCCUCGCAUGAGGGAGAUGAGAAAGGCGGAGCAAUCUGCCACUUAUGGAUGGACCUGCGGCGCAUUAGCUAGUUGGUAAGGUAACGGCUUACCAAGGCGACGAUGCGUAGCCGACCUGAGAGGGUGAUCGGCCACACUGGGACUGAGACACGGCCCAGACUCCUACGGGAGGCAGCAGUAGGGAAUCUUCCGCAAUGGACGAAAGUCUGACGGAGCAACGCCGCGUGAGUGAUGAAGGUUUUCGGAUCGUAAAGCUCUGUUGCCAGGGAAGAACGCCUAGGAGAGUAACUGCUCCUAGGGUGACGGUACCUGAGAAGAAAGCCCCGGCUAACUACGUGCCAGCAGCCGCGGUAAUACGUAGGGGGCGAGCGUUGUCCGGAAUUAUUGGGCGUAAAGCGCGCGCAGGCGGCAAUGUAAGUUGGGUGUUUAAACCUAGGGCUCAACCUUGGGUCGCAUCCAAAACUGCAUAGCUUGAGUACAGAAGAGGAAAGUGGAAUUCCACGUGUAGCGGUGAAAUGCGUAGAGAUGUGGAGGAACACCAGUGGCGAAGGCGACUUUCUGGGCUGUAACUGACGCUGA